GUUUAUCAAGAAGUCAGAAAGAAAGCUAAGCAUUUUUCAAAUUUAUGUUGAUGACCCCGUUUUCAAAGAGAUGUCUCAGAAGAUGGUGAAACUUUUUGUCCUACACAUGUAGACUGCGUUUGAAAUGAGGGGGCUCUGCUUGUGAUGUUCCUGAAUUUAUUUCUCCUAAGUAUGAUGUUAUUAAAAAGAAUAUUGGAGAUAGUGUUUUGAUUGUAAAGUUUGUUGUUUGUAUGAAGAGUUAUGUGAUUUGUCAAGAUCUUGUUGGGAUUGCUCCCGUUCGUCAGAGAAAGAUAGUCCUCAUCAGGUUGGAAAUAAUCAGUCUUCUAGAAUUAUAGUGAAUAAAUAUCCUCCUAUUGUUCUUGUUGUGCUCUGAUUGAUAUCUCUGUUCUCUCUGAGAAGAGUUUUAGUUUGUGGCAAUAUGUGGUCAAGAGGCAAAUUUUUGGUGAAAAUGGGCUUUCUGAACAAGCUCAAGAUUGUCUCGUUGAAUUAAUUGUUAAAGUUGGCAUGAUUAAAACUGUCUUAAAUGUUGACCCCUACUACCCUCAGCUGGUUCAUGAGUUCAUUGUAAAUCUCCCAAGGAAUUUUGAUAA